GCCUUUUUCCCAUUUAUUUUGAAAAACAAGGGGGGUGAGUUUUUCAAAAAUCUAUUUGUUUUUCAUAGAAAAAUCAUGAUCUACGAAGAUCCAACGGUCUGAUCUUCAAUCCGUCGUUGGAAAUGUGAUCCUUGCACUCGAAUCUACUUUUUCACCAAUCAUUUUGAAGUGUUUGAGUUGUUGGAACUUGCUUGAAGCUACCCAAACCUUGGGUUUUGGUUUGGUGAACUAUUGGUACAAGUUAUGGAACGUGUACAUUAUGUUGGCUGAGCGACAAGUAGUUGUGCCAUUAUGAGGAUCCAUUUUAUGCUUUAUGCAUGUUUUCAAAAAAAAAAAUUGGUCGUCACAAGAUAUUAAUGAUAAAUGUUGUAAUAAUGUCCACAUAAAAAUAUAUGGGCAUACAGUAGGUCUAUUUUAUAUUCUGUCAUAAUGUCUAAGUUAAAUUGGAAG